GAGCUUAUACCUAUGCAUAACUUGAACACUUUAUUCUAAAAGGAAAAGCAAUAAAAAUCAAAGCAGGCUUGUAUACAAGUUAAAUCUUCUGUUAAGGAGCGGUAAUGUUAUUUGUUUUCAAUCAAAUGAGGGCAAUAAAAGCCAAGAUGUGUAAUGAAACCCCACCUGGUGUGUAUCGGCCUUGACACAGCCUUUUUAUUCAACAUAGCCUUUGCUUAAUGGAAAUCCCUGGCAAAGAGCCAGAGCCAGGGCUGUAAUGUUUGUAAAUAGCUGUUGCUUUCAGCCUGACUUUCCCCAGAGAAAACCAUGCAGGAAUAAAAAAAGUGAAGAUUCGGUAACAGCGUAAUUGCGUCACAUAACGGCCACCCCCGGGAAGCCAUCUGAAGUUUUAAUGCUCUAAAAUGAAUGCUGAAUUCACUCGUUUUCUCUAACAAAGGUGGCUGUUGCGGUGGCUGCACACACACCAGAGGGCUGCUGAAGGAAAGCGGAACAAAUGCCAUUUGCAAUUCAAGUGCCUUUAGACCCCAGAUGCUGCUGCCUCACAACCACUCUUCUGCAACCUUGAUGAAGGAUGGUAAUUAUCCCUCCAGUACUGGUGACCAGCACAGGCCCGGCCCUAAUCUCUUGCUGAUGUGGGCGACAGACCUGCUCAAGGACACAGAGGCACAGGUUGGUGCCAGGCCACUGCUAUUGCCUUGGAUCUCCAGACGCUGACCUAGCCUCUGCUUGGCAUUCAAGUUGUAACACCUUUGACACUAACAACCCACUCAGGAAGCCACAGGAAUAAGUUAUGUUCUCUGAAUGACGUGUUUCGGCCUUUAUUCUGCUCACGAACAUGGACCAGAGUUUCAAGUUAUCAGCCGUUUCUUACAGAACACUACUCAUUCAGAUGUUCCUCUUGGCAUUAAGCUAUAAACAUGGGGCCUACCAUGAGGGCCUACUCGUAUGUUGAGGGGUGAUAUGCUACUACCUGAGCCAUGCCACCUGCUCAAAGAAAGGGAGAGAGUAACAGCAUCUCCCAGCUAACCUCAGGCAUAGUCUCUUCAGGGGGCAGCAGGCUGAGUGCAAAGUCAAAUUUGCCUUAGAGGAAAAUCUAUCCAAGUGGGGAUUCUGAUGGAGAGAGAAUUUCAUCCAACUAUUCCGUGAUGUGGUGUGUGCCUGCCUUGCUGCACCCAGCAGCAGCUGCUUCACUGCUUCACUGAUCAAAGCUGGCAAGUUAUUUUAGACAUUUUGUAGGAGCUGGUUACCCACAGUAUGCUUCAUGUUCAGUUGGCCUUGGUCAUACCCACAUCCGGGGCAUGGUGCAGAGUUAGGCUGCCUAGUGACCUUGCCAGGUGGGAGAUGGCCCUUGGUGCAAAGACUGGCUGGGGAUACACUGAUAGUGAUGAGGAACUCCUGUUUGGUACUGCUGAUGAAGGCCAUCUCUCCCACAUGCAAAUCCAUGUUGUCACAGAACUGUACACUGAACUUGAGGAGCAGUCCCACCAUCAUCGCUGAACAUACCUCUAGGUAAUGGCAGACUGUGGCUGGCAUGAAUCUGCCCUUGUCAUCCAAGGUGCAAACUUCUGCUCUGCUGCUUACCCCUAGCAGCCACAGAGCUGGGCAAGGAGGCAGCAUUCCCCAUCAUGUGCUUACAUUAAAACGCAAUCCUACAUCUUCAAGCUAGGUGUAUGAACAAUAACCUCAAGUCACUGUCUGAUGUCCUGCUGUUGGACUAGGAUUGCUUCAUGUGAAGAGCGUUUUAUCAAAAUAAAUUGCACUGUACU
rnacentral:lncRNA from 7 species